GUUGACUUUUCGCUGUAAGCUCUGCAUUCCCUUAGGAACGACUUUUGAGCAGAAAACUUACGUUGCGCUCCCUUAGGAACGGCUUUUUGUAGCUUCGUCGUACUCUGCAUCCCCUUAGGGACGUCUUUCGAGCUUCUCCCUGUUUUUUUCUUUUUUCUCGUUGCACUCGAUGGUGCAUGCCCAGUUUUUACAUUUACAUCUUCGGGGGAUACUGCUCCUGUAGAGCUGAUAUAAGAAAAAGAGAAAUUACAUGCUAUGGCCCCAUUAAAAACCUUUCUCCCCCUUUGGAAAGGAAAAGGGUGCCAUAGUAAAGAAUAAAAAAGAUUACAUUAGGUUACACAUAAUACCGCCGAAGCUCAUCCGCAUUCUAAGAUCUAGGAAUGUCGCUGUCGUCCAUAUCCUUCAGCCUGUAGGAACCGGGUCUUGACGAAGAUACUACCAGGAAAUGUAACACCCGGCUUUAAGGAACAAAGCCAGGUGCAUCUCAUACAUGCGCCAAGAAGACAACAUAUAUAAUAACAGAGUGUAUAGAGAUAAAUGUCAUAAAACAUCAGAGAAUUUAUUACAUAGCGGAAGACUUAUUACAAAAUAACAUAAUAAAGAUAAAACGAACUAAGGAUCGUCGGCGCCAAUGUCGACUGGGAAACGCCACCUAGAUCAGAUCGAACUCCUCAGUGUUAGGCGGCUCCUCCUGAACCACCUGAUCAUCUCCUGUGGGGGGGGUGUGAGACAGCAAGGGUGAGCUCACACAUGAUCAUCGCUCAACAAGUUGUGGGGAAUAAUGUGACAUGAACUCACCAAAGGUGGGAGCUCAUGUGAAGUGUAAGGCUGAUCAAUGAUAGGGGUUAAAGCUGAGCAUUGCUUUUAAGUAGUUGGUCAAAAUUUUAUUAGCAGUUACUAAGUGUAAGUAAAUACCAAACCAUAAGUAAAGUAAUAGAACAAAAUUAAUAACAAACCCAUGCAAUGCAAAUGACAAAAUUGAAUUUAAGUUCCAUAAUUUAAACAUCAGAGAGUCCUGAGCUGCUCAUGACCGUGAGCUCGGCUAGUAUACCAGUUUUACACUCUGCAGAGGUUGUACCCUUUACCCACAAGUCAUGUUACCCAUCUGCCAAGGGGUCAUGAAUCCCAUACACCUCUACCUAGGAAGCGCGACAGGGCAACACUACGAGGCCUUUACAAAGUUCCACUAGCUUCCGAAAACCCGCUACAGUUUAUGGGAAGAUCCAGUACAGGGUUCCUGGCUGACCGCCAUCGCAGCAAAAUCAACCAGGGACCUCCCCGCACUGACCUCUCCCCUACUGCCCUUGCCCCUUUCGGGUAAGGUAGUCUUCCACUAGCUUUCCUAGUUAAUCAGCCAAGGGCGUCCCAUUAAACCCUUGUGGUGGCACGUGGUUCUCAAGUUAAGCUCUAUGUUCCAAUUAACAUUAAUGAUAACAACAUGAACAUAAACAGAAUAACAACAAGAAUUGGAACAUAGAGGUGAUAAAUUAUUAUCCCAAAACCAUAUAAAGCAAUAGCAAACUACCCAAGUGAUUCAGGGGUAAACAAGGUAAUGAGAUAAACAAUCUAGGGUGACCUAUUGGGUCCCAUCAAAAUUAACCUAUGCAUGGAUAAGUGAUAUUAAAGAACAUUAUUGGGUAAAAAGUGGUCAAGGGCACAACUUGCCUGGCACUUGAGAUUCCAAUUACCAGGGUGAACUUCAGGUGACUUGAAACCUCGUGCUAGUCGUAGCAAUACAAACAAACAUGAUAUAGACAAAAUUAACAUCACACCAAACAUAAGAACAAACUGAAUAAGAAUGAUCUACGCGUUGCUACGAGACUAACGCAACUUGAAUGGAUCAAAUUAGAGUUAAAACGGAGGAGUUAUGAUUUUCUGAAGAUUAUAUGUGUUUUGUACAAGAUUAAAUAGGAUAUAGAUUUUAAUGUGACAUUCAUGUCAAAACAGUGGUACUAAUUGAUAAACAAUAUUAUUAUAAAAUUAUAGAAACUGGAAUGGGUUAAAAAGGAGCUAGUAUGAAAUUUCUAUGAAUUAUACAAGUUCUGGAAUUAUUUUUAUAUCUGAAAAUUCAUUUCUUAAAUAAAUCCCUGGUUAUAUCUCUGUUUGGGCUACAUGCGCAAAAACAGGAAAAUGCAGGGGCUUCUGCGUAAGGAAUACUAGACUCAGGCUACAGUCAACUGGAUGGCGGGUUCAUUUAUAAAGAUUUCCAGGGGCUUUUAUGCUAUUCUGACCCGCGAAGGGGUAAAAUCGCAUCUGAGCCGCACGAUCUAAAUUCUAUGGCCUAGAUUAGAUCAUCUAAUACCGAACCGGUAUGCGACCGCAACCCUCAGAUCUGAAUCCGACGGUGGCAGUUUUAAAAAGAUGGACGGGCUCCGGUCCGGCCGAUGGCGAUCGGACGUGCCACGUCGUUCCAACCGAACCGGCACGCAAGCCAUAAUCGCGCCCGUAGAUCACACCAUCGACGAUCCACGGUUCAACGGAUGCAAAGGGGGUGCGCUUGGAUCACAUCUUAACCGUGCAUCACACAUCAAUGGCCCUGGUGAUUUUCCCCCCUUACGACGGCCGGCCACGGCGGGGCAGAUGCCCGUGGCGGCGUGCCAUGGCCGGAAAUCCCAUACCGGCCCUCGGUGCACGAUUCCUCCGAACGCAAGGUGCUACAUGAAUCCUAUACGCUGGCGAAUACGGGAAGGAUGUACUCACCCGCGAUCGAAGUAGGGGCGAGCUGGACCACGGCACGCAGCGGCUUCACGGCGGAGCUGACACGGCGGCGAGCAAUUUAGUUGAAGCAGGGAGUCCAAUCCACCCGACGACGCCAUAAAAACGUCCGCCAGAAUAGGGUGAAUCCCCCCCGACCCGACAGAGGGCCCCAGAGGAUGAUGCAAGCACACAUCCAUGGCGGCGGCGCACAUCACUCCAUCGUUAUCUCCCUGUGUGCUGGCGGUGGUUCUCUUGGUGAUGGAAAAUGGUGGUCGUGGGGCGGUGGAGAUUUUAGCGGAGCCGAGCUGAUAGGAAUGAAACGCGACCCCGUAUGACUUUGUAGAGGUAGGGAUGCAGAGCUAAGGCGGUGGAAUCACCAUGAACAACUCCCGACCAACGCGGAGGUGGAAGAUGACCCGUGCGUCCCGCAUUUAGGGGCAACGCGCGCCCAUGCUCAGAGGCGCACACGGACCCGGUCGCGGAGAGCUUGGAGAAAGGGCUGGGCGGUGGUCAAAUCUCCCACGCGAGAUCCACGGCGGGAGACCAGCGAAGUCCGUUGGGAAGACGCUCCUGACGAGCUGGGCCCACAUGGUAGUUGUCGUGGUUCAGCGAUGGGAGUGAGCGACGAUCCGCGGCUACGGGGUGAGAGACCGACGACUGGGCCCAAGAAUCCGGCGACGGAAUGCGUGCGCGAAGAGAAAGGGGGAUGGGCCGACCAGGAUGGCGCGCGAGGUGUUUUGUGGGCCGAAUAGAGAAGAAACGGCCCAGGCGCUAUCUUUCUCUCUUUUUUUUUAUUUUCUAAUUUCUUCUUUUUUUCCUCUUUUAAACCUCAAUUUGAAUUCAAAUGUUGUAGCAAACUUGUACUCAAAUUAAAAAUACAAAAUAAACAUACUAGUGUGAAUUUUAUUUAUAAAUUUUAUUUUGUAUUUUAUAGUAUUUCUUUCUAAACCCAAGUUUGAAUCUAGUGGCUAAUUCAUAUUCUCCACUCAUUAUUGUAUUCCUACUAAUAUAUUGCUGUUAUUAUUUAAAUGCACAAGCAAACAAAAAUCUCCAACAUGAUGCACCUUUAUUUUACUUAGUAUUUUUUUAUAGGUAGCCAGAGUUAAUCCCAUGGUUUGAAAUAUGCUAAGAUGAGAAUAACAACACAUGUGAUCCAAUGACCCUAUUAUAUUUCUCAUUUCUUGUAUGUUUUAUUGCUCUCACUAUUUGGGUAUUACAAAUCCUACCCCCCUUAAAAAUAAUCUCGUCCUCGAGAUUUAGGAAGGACUAGGGAAAGGAUGGGGAAAAUCUAUGCGAAGCUCUUCUUCUCUUUCCCAUGUUGCUUCAUCUUCUCCAUGAUGGCUCCAUUGCACUUUGCACAUCUUUAUCACCUUAUUUCUUGUAACUCGAGUCAAUGUAUCAAGAAUCUUGACAGGAUACUCCGUGUAAGUCAGGUCAUCUUGAACACUAAGGUCUUCCAUUGGUAGUUGCUCCUCAGGUACCCUGAGGCACUUCUUUAGCUGAGACACAUGAAACACAUCAUGUACAUCUGACAGAUGAUCGGGUAACUCCAGUUGAUAUGCAACUUCACCCACUCGCUUUAUGAUCAAGAAGGGUCCAAUAAAGCGAGGGGACAACUUUCCUUUAACUUUAAAUCUCCUCAUACCCCGGAGUGGUGACACCUUGAGAUACACAUAAUCCCCUUCUUCGAAUUCCAGUGGUCUUCUUCUAUUAUCAGCGUAGCUCUUUUGCCUGGUUUGAGCCACUCUCAAAUUCUCUCGAAUUAUACGGACUUGUUCUUCUGCUUCUUGAAUCAGUUCAGGCCCAAAGAACUGUCUCUCUCCAGUCUGAUCCCAAUACAAAGGAGUUCUGCACUUCCUCCCAUAUAAAGCUUCAAAAGGUGACAUCUUCAGACUGGCCUGAUAACUAUUAUUAUAUGAGAACUCAGCAUAAGGCAGACUCUUAUCCCAACUUCCUCCAUGCUGAAGGGCACAUGCUCUCAACAUAUCUUCCAAAACUUGAUUUGUCCUUUCAGUCUGUCCAUCAGUCUGAGGGUGAUAAGCCGUACUAAAAUUCAACUUCGUACUCAUGUUCUCAUGAAAGCUUCUCCAAAAUCUUGAGGUAAACUGCGAACCUCGAUCAGACACGAUCUUCUUUGGUACUCCAUGUAAACACACAAUCCGAGCCAUAUACAAUUCUGCUAGCUGAGAACCUCUAUAAGUAGUCUUCACAGGAAUAAAGUGAGCCACUUUAGUCAAUCUAUCCACAAUCACCCAUAUAGCAUCAUAUCCUUUCUGGGUGCGAGGCAAUCCAGUAAUGAAAUCCAUACCAAUCUCUUCCCAUUUCCACUCGGGUAUCUUCAGUGGAUGUAGUAGUCCAGCUGGCCUCUGGUGUUCAGCCUUAACUCUUUGACAUACGUCGCACAUAGCCACAUGCGCAGCCACAUCUCUUUUCAAUCCAUACCACCAAUACUUUCGCUUCAAAUCCUGGUACAUCUUGGUACUACCAGGAUGAAUAGAAUAAUCCGAGUCAUGGGCCUCUUUCAAUAUAGUCUCUCGAAGGCUUUUAAUAUCAGGAACACACAUUCUGUCCUUGAACCAUACAGUACCUUGCUCAUCUUCCGUAAAUUCCGGAACUCGACCUUCAGUAAUCAGGUCCUUAAUCUCUUUUAUUUUAGCAUCACCAAUUUGUCCUUUGCGGAUCUCUUGCUCCAACGUAGGUUCCACAUCAAUAGUAACUCCUUCAGUAUGAGCAACUAUCCCCAGGUUAAGUCUCCUGAAAUCCUCAACAAUCUCAUCGGGUAGCUGGGCAACAAUAGCUGAAUGAACAUGCUCCUUGCGACUCAAGGCAUCUGCAACCAAAUUAGCCUUGCCCGGGUGAUAGUGAAUCUCCAAAUCAUAAUCCUUUAUAAGCUCCAACCAACGACGUUGCCUAAGGUUGAGAUCCUUCUGAGUGAAUAUAUACUUCAAACUCUUAUGAUCCGUAUAUACUUGGCACUUAGUCCCCAUAAUGUAGUGUCUCCAAAUCUUAAGUGCAUGCACAACUGCUGCUAGUUCCAAGUCAUGAGUGGGGUAGUUCAGUUCAUGCUUCCGCAACUGACGAGAUGCAUAGGCAAUCACAUGUCCUUCUUGCAUGAGCACACAUCCAAGUCCUUGGCCACAUGCAUCACAAUAAAUGUCAAACCCCUUCUGUAGGUCUGGCAUAACCAAUACCGGUGGCGACAUCAACCUCUUCUUCAAUAGAUCAAAGCUGUCUUGACACUUCUCGUCCCACUUAAAUUCUUUUCCCUUCUCCAAAAGUGAAGUCAUAGGCUUAGCAAUCUUAGAAAAUCCUUCAAUAAAUCUCCGAUAAUAGCCUGCUAAUCCCAAGAAACUCCGAAUCUCAGUAACUGUAGUGGGUACUCUCUACUCCAUUAUCUCCUUAACUUUAGCAGGAUCCACUGCUAUUCCUCCAUUAGAAAUAAUAUGACCAAGAAAUGGCACUUCGCCAAUCCAAAACUCGCACUUGCUGAACUUAGCAUAGAGUUGAUUAUCUCGUAGCUUCUGUAGCACCAUCCUCAGAUGUUCCUCGUGAUCACUUUCACUCUGAGAAUAAAUAAGAAUAUCGUCGAUGAAUACCACGACGAAUCUGUCCAAAUACUCCAUAAACACCUUGUUCAUUAAGUUCAUAAAAUAGGCUGGUGCGUUAGUCAAUCCAAACGACAUAACUGUGAACUCAUAUAAUCCAUAUCUAGUCGAGAAAGCCGUCUUGGGAAUAUCCGAUGGUCUAAUCCUCAUCUGAUGAUAACCGGAUCGGAGAUCAAUCUUCGAGAAUACUCUUGCACCCCUCAUCUGAUCAAAUAAAUCCUCAAUACGGGGCAACGGAUACUUGUUCUUCACCGUAACAUCAUUAAGAGAUCUAUAAUCCACACACAUCCGUUGCGAUCCAUCCUUCUUCUGUACAAACAAGACCGGUGCUCCCCAAGGUGAGGAACUCGGACGAAUGUACCCAGCCUCUUGUAACUCAGUUAAUUGCUUCUUAAGUUCCUUCAACUCCUCUACGGACAUCCUAUAUGGCCGUUUAGAAAUAGGGGCGGUUCCAGGUAAGAGGUCAAUAACAAACUCAACUUCUCUAUCAGGUGGCGUCUCUGGUAACUCGUCUGGGAAGGCAUCCGGAAAAUCUCUAACCACACGGAUGUUGACACCAACAAACUUCCCAUGUACUAAGAAUGACGCUAGUCUGAUGGUGGUAGUUACUGCAACUUCAACUUCAAAUCUUUGUCCUUUGGAAUUGGUGAGUUCUAUGGUCCCCUUAGCACGGUGUAUAUACUGUCUUUGCCUUUCUUAACCAUGACAUACCAAGGAUCACAUCUAUAGUGCUCUCUUCUAACACUAUAGGGGUAGCACAUCUGGGUUAAGAAUAUAGGGUAAGAAAGGAAGAAUUGUAGACAAGGUAGUGAUUACGAAGCAUGUUACUUUGGGAGAUUUAUUAGCUAAGUGUGUCACCUACUAAAGCUAAUUCAUUACCUUAUGUUGGUACAUGCUAAGAUGCCCGUCUAUACUAUUUCAAUCAAUCAAAGAAGCAAAUCAAGCAUUUGUCAUCAGAACAAUCAACCAACAUUUUUUUAAAAAUAGAGAAAAUAGUUUUAAUUUUGUCUUAGGUCUCCUAUCUCUUAAAAGUUCAUAAAUGUAGGAUUCCAAGGUGUGAAAUCCAUCUUGUCUCAGAGUAGAAAAGGUAAGAAUGAUUAGAGUAGAACAGUAGAAGGUGAGACAGGAUCAAGGUAAGUAUAGAAAGAGUCAGAGUAAGGUAAGUAUAGGAUGAAUCAGAAUGAGAUAAGUAGGUAAGGGUUGUUCAUUUCUAUCUAGGUUUCGUCCUACAGUCAACAUUUCCUCUGAUACCACUUCUGUAACACCCGGCUUUAAGGAACAAAGCCAGGUGCAUCUCAUACAUGCGCCAAGAAGACAACAUAUAUAAUAACAGAGUGUAUAGAGAUAAAUGUCAUAAAACAUCAGAGAAUUUAUUACAUAGCGGAAGACUUAUUACAAAAUAACAUAAUAAAGAUAAAACGAACUAAGGAUCGUCGGCGCCAAUGUCGACUGGGAAACGCCACCUAGAUCAGAUCGAACUCCUCAGUGUUAGGCGGCUCCUCCUGAACCACCUGAUCAUCUCCUGUGGGGGGGGGGGUGUGAGACAGCAAGGGUGAGCUCACACAUGAUCAUCGCUCAACAAGUUGUGGGGAAUAAUGUGACAUGAACUCACCAAAGGUGGGAGCUCAUGUGAAGUGUAAGGCUGAUCAAUGAUAGGGGUUAAAGCUGAGCAUUGCUUUUAAGUAGUUGGUCAAAAUUUUAUUAGCAGUUACUAAGUGUAAGUAAAUACCAAACCAUAAGUAAAGUAAUAGAACAAAAUUAAUAACAAACCCAUGCAAUGCAAAUGACAAAAUUGAAUUUAAGUUCCAUAAUUUAAACAUCAGAGAGUCCUGAGCUGCUCAUGACCGUGAGCUCGGCUAGUAUACCAGUUUUACACUCUGCAGAGGUUGUACCCUUUACCCACAAGUCAUGUUACCCAUCUGCCAAGGGGUCAUGAAUCCCAUACACCUCUACCUAGGAAGCGCGACAGGGCAACACUACGAGGCCUUUACAAAGUUCCACUAGCUUCCGAAAACCCGCUACAGUUUAUGGGAAGAUCCAGUACAGGGUUCCUGGCUGACCGCCAUCGCAGCAAAAUCAACCAGGGACCUCCCCGCACUGACCUCUCCCCUACUGCCCUUGCCCCUUUCGGGUAAGGUAGUCUUCCACUAGCUUUCCUAGUUAAUCAGCCAAGGGCGUCCCAUUAAACCCUUGUGGUGGCACGUGGUUCUCAAGUUAAGCUCUAUGUUCCAAUUAACAUUAAUGAUAACAACAUGAACAUAAACAGAAUAACAACAAGAAUUGGAACAUAGAGGUGAUAAAUUAUUAUCCCAAAACCAUAUAAAGCAAUAGCAAACUACCCAAGUGAUUCAGGGGUAAACAAGGUAAUGAGAUAAACAAUCUAGGGUGACCUAUUGGGUCCCAUCAAAAUUAACCUAUGCAUGGAUAAGUGAUAUUAAAGAACAUUAUUGGGUAAAAAGUGGUCAAGGGCACAACUUGCCUGGCACUUGAGAUUCCAAUUACCAGGGUGAACUUCAGGUGACUUGAAACCUCGUGCUAGUCGUAGCAAUACAAACAAACAUGAUAUAGACAAAAUUAACAUCACACCAAACAUAAGAACAAACUGAAUAAGAAUGAUCUACGCGUUGCUACGAGACUAACGCAACUUGAAUGGAUCAAAUUAGAGUUAAAACGGAGGAGUUAUGAUUUUCUGAAGAUUAUAUGUGUUUUGUACAAGAUUAAAUAGGAUAUAGAUUUUAAUGUGACAUUCAUGUCAAAACAGUGGUACUAAUUGAUAAACAAUAUUAUUAUAAAAUUAUAGAAACUGGAAUGGGUUAAAAAGGAGCUAGUAUGAAAUUUCUAUGAAUUAUACAAGUUCUGGAAUUAUUUUUAUAUCUGAAAAUUCAUUUCUUAAAUAAAUCCCUGGUUAUAUCUCUGUUUGGGCUACAUGCGCAAAAACAGGAAAAUGCAGGGGCUUCUGCGUAAGGAAUACUAGACUCAGGCUACAGUCAACUGGAUGGCGGGUUCAUUUAUAAAGAUUUCCAGGGGCUUUUAUGCUAUUCUGACCCGCGAAGGGGUAAAAUCGCAUCUGAGCCGCACGAUCUAAAUUCUAUGGCCUAGAUUAGAUCAUCUAAUACCGAACCGGUAUGCGACCGCAACCCUCAGAUCUGAAUCCGACGGUGGCAGUUUUAAAAAGAUGGACGGGCUCCGGUCCGGCCGAUGGCGAUCGGACGUGCCACGUCGUUCCAACCGAACCGGCACGCAAGCCAUAAUCGCGCCCGUAGAUCACACCAUCGACGAUCCACGGUUCAACGGAUGCAAAGGGGGUGCGCUUGGAUCACAUCUUAACCGUGCAUCACACAUCAAUGGCCCUGGUGAUUUUCCCCCCUUACGACGGCCGGCCACGGCGGGGCAGAUGCCCGUGGCGGCGUGCCAUGGCCGGAAAUCCCAUACCGGCCCUCGGUGCACGAUUCCUCCGAACGCAAGGUGCUACAUGAAUCCUAUACGCUGGCGAAUACGGGAAGGAUGUACUCACCCGCGAUCGAAGUAGGGGCGAGCUGGACCACGGCACGCAGCGGCUUCACGGCGGAGCUGACACGGCGGCGAGCAAUUUAGUUGAAGCAGGGAGUCCAAUCCACCCGACGACGCCAUAAAAACGUCCGCCAGAAUAGGGUGAAUCCCCCCCGACCCGACAGAGGGCCCCAGAGGAUGAUGCAAGCACACAUCCAUGGCGGCGGCGCACAUCACUCCAUCGUUAUCUCCCUGUGUGCUGGCGGUGGUUCUCUUGGUGAUGGAAAAUGGUGGUCGUGGGGCGGUGGAGAUUUUAGCGGAGCCGAGCUGAUAGGAAUGAAACGCGACCCCGUAUGACUUUGUAGAGGUAGGGAUGCAGAGCUAAGGCGGUGGAAUCACCAUGAACAACUCCCGACCAACGCGGAGGUGGAAGAUGACCCGUGCGUCCCGCAUUUAGGGGCAACGCGCGCCCAUGCUCAGAGGCGCAC
rnacentral:lncRNA from 1 species